GAAGGACUGUCCAUUCAUCCAGAGGGACACACUGAGUGUAACGUGAUUCCUUUGUGAGAGGACUUUGACACAGGAGACAUGGGGGAUAUGUACAGACACAUGCUGCGGUCAGUGAAGAGUGGACACGAAGAUGUUAACGCUGGGUGUGCAACGAACAGGAGAACUGUGGGUCAGGAGGACAUACUUAAGGAACAGCCCACAGACAUCUGGACUCCAGCAGCGUCUGGUCAGGAGGAGCCAGCGGCCCAAGAGAGAGAGAGAGUAUUCUGCCUGAUCGGGGUCAUUGCUAUCAUCCUCAAUCUUCUAGUGGUGGUGUUAGUGUACAUUUACACCCCUGUGUGAAGAGAAGUUCAUUACCCAACACUUCAGACAUCUGGACGGCUUCACUGUCACUGCCCGUAAUAAAAACGACCAGACAUUGUGUUUGUUAUGGUGAGCAGGCUGGGAAUAUACAGUACAUAUCUCUCAUGCCAGUGUGUCGCGUUAUAUUUGUCUUAAGGAUGAUGAAGUUUAAGCUAAGCAUAUAUCAGUGUCCUUUAAUUACUACAGAUUAAUGAAUGUUAUCUGUGGAUCCUGCUGUUUUCUACAUGCUAUUUUCUAAAUGCACAAGCUUCUAUGAAACAGGGAAAUAAUCUCUAAAUGUAAAUAUUUGAGACAUUUCACUUUCCUGAUAAAUUUCAUAACAUCCCCUUAAAUAGUAAAACCCUUAAUGACAUCAUCCUCUAGGAAGUGACAUCAUUUUGGAGGGAGAACACAAACAUCAGGAUGGAACACAAACAUAAAGAUUUGUUGAAUUCUGCGAUGUUUGUCAUUUAAGUAAGGUUGUCUCACUUUUAAACGUAAAUAAAAUUAUUAAAACUUUUUUUUUCUGGUAUCAUUAAAUCAAAAUGAAAAAAUGGUUAAAAGUGUCUUAUCUGUAAGAUUUAUAUUUACAUUAACUGCUUUCAAAAUGACUUUUACAAAGUACUUUAUUGUUGUUAUUUUCCUUUUUAGCUGCAAUGGCUAAGCUAAAGGCUACAUAAAGUUUUUUUUACAAAUAUUAAAUGUAUAUUAAAUAAUGUAAUGGAUACGCAUACGUCAUGAUUUAAACGUGAAUAUAGGUAAUGUCAACAUGUAACAUGCUAAAGUAAAAAAAAAAAAAAAAAAAAAAAAUGAGAAGAAGAAGCUUUACAUCUGAAAAUGUAAAUGUUUAUCUAUCUCACGCUGCUCCGAGAGCCUGAGCUCUGAUUGGCUGUCUCUUAGUUACAACCCACGAGUCACUCUGAUUGGCUGAAAGUUAUCCACGCAUCUCUUUCAUUCAUGUCAGUCUGGAUGAGAGAAUGAAUGAUCGCUCUCCGAAUUCAUUGACUUAGAUUCAGAGCGAAACCACUUUUUGAAAACGCAUCAGUUGCAUCAAUUCACCAGCUCGGAAUAACGAUGUCAGAACUGUGGAGCUUGUCAUUUUGCAUGUCAGGAGUUCUUUUUAUAACCUUCCUCUCCCUGGAGAUCGCAAGCUCCUCAUCAGUCAGUCAUCAGAUGUCUCCUGAUCUCAUCCAUCCUCCACAGACCAGGAGCAGAGCACAGAGACACAGACAUCAGCUCAACUCGACACGAACACAGACAGAUCUGAAAGGGUAAGUGUCUUAUUUGAAGUCAUCGCAAGAGACUUUAAUGAAGGUGAUGUUUGUAGUGAUAUUGAAUAUAUCUGAAUAUAUGACCUCGAAACAUCGU
ensembl:lncRNA